rnacentral:ncRNA from 1 species
AUACAUACCAAACAUAAAGGUGCCCCGCAUUAAAAACGGGGUUAAAAGGGAAGUCGGUUCAAUGCCGGCGCGGUCCCGCCACUGUAAGUGUGAGUUAGUCGCAAUGUGUCACUGGAAAAAGUUCCGGGAAGACGCGGCAAGCCUUGAACACGAGCCAGGAGACCUGCCUUUAUGGAUCACACGUA